GACGUAGGAGGCGAGCGUUGUCCGGAGUUACUGGGCGUAAAGCGCGCGCAGGCGGCCCUGCGCGCUGCCGGUGAAAGCUCCCGGCUCACCUGGGAGAGGUUCGGCAGGACGGCAGGGCUGGAGGGCGGUAGAGGGUGGUGGAAUUCCGGGUGUAGUGGUGGAAUGCGUAGAGAUCCGGAGGAACACCAGCGGCGAAGGCGGCAUCCUGGACUGGUCCUGACACUCAUGAGCGAAAGCGUGGGGAGCGAUCCGG
rnacentral:rRNA from 1 species